CAGGACAACAGAAGAAACUCACUGAAACUUGAAAAAAAAAUCGGAGCUUAACUUACUGUAACAAAACUGAGCAACAUACUGUAUUGCUGGUGACAAAAACACAUAUUAAAACCUUUUUAGCUGUAAAAUGCGCAAUGGUCCUUUUUUUACUUUUUUAUUGAUUUUUAUUUUUUUCAUAGGCCUAGAUUUUUUUUUAUUUUUAUUACAGAAUUCAAUAUCAAGUCCUUGACACAUAACUGUAACACAUUUUCACAUUAAGAAACAAUUUAGUUUAAAUAAAAAGAACAACACAAAAUAAAUAAAUAAAUAAAUUAUUUAUUUAUUAGAGAUAGGCCUACAGAUUUUUUUUAUUUAUUUUUUUUUACUUUAGACUCUAAAGUUAAAAGUUUUUAUUAAGGUUAUUGUAAAGGCUGCUUAAAAAUGCUGUCGCUGAUGAGCCUCUUAUCGCUGUCAGAUUCUGUGAUAUGAAUGUCCGCGUUGGAUUGUGGCUAAUGGGCUUAGAAUGAGACCCGCUCGGCCCGUGUUCUGGCUUACUGUAAUAUUUCACCGGUAAUAAAACCGAAAUAAUAUAAUUAAAAUAAAGAAAUGAAUGAAUACAAUGAUAACAUCUAAAUAAAUGUUGAUAGAUGUAGCGUUAUAGUUUAAAAAAUAUUAAUAAACAGCAAAUCAACACAGCUUCGAAAUAAUAACCGAAAAAGACCUAAAUAAUAAUAAUACAUAAUUAAUAUACAGCGCCGCCCCUCCCACCACGCGCAUCACGCGCCGUGCGUCAACCCAUUGUCACUCCCAAAGCGUCAAAAACUGAAGCGUGGUCAAGCGCCUCUAGCAUCACUGACAUGAGAUGUUUAUCGCUUUGAAAUCACGUUCAAGAAGUCUCAUUCAGCACACAUCGCGAUACUUGCCAUCAGUUUACAAGAGCCGCAGGUUGGGUGAGUUAUACAGUCUAUGCUGAAAAGACAUAAAGGAAGCAGUCACCCCAGUGGUGUUUGUGGAGAGGUAUUCCUUCAGAAAUGGAGAAGACAGAAAGCUGCAGAGGCAGGUUGGUCUGUGAUAGUUUGUCCCUUUUAUCAAACAUUCCUGCUGUUAUCAUUUGCACAGCAUUUGUUGUUUCUUAAACUGUUGUACGGUCCAAAUACCCACACUUGCCGUCUUUGCACAUUUCCUUUAUUUGGCCCAAGUGAGCAUGAAGAUCACAAUGUGUGUCGAUCUUAACAUGACAAAGUUCCUUUCAACUUUGCAUUUUAAAAUAAACUUCUAAAUGUCUUUUCAAUAGUCCCUAUUAAAGAUGACAAUUUAAUUUGUGGUGCUUCUAAUUAAGUGAUAAAAAGCAGUUGCAAAUGAUGUAAAAAAUUAAUAUACUUUUCUGUGCUCCAAGAAAACGUGCAACACUUUGUUUUACUACUAAAUUAUUCUCAAUUUCUAAUUAUUAUUAUUAAUAUUUCACAAACAUUGGAAAGGUUUGCGUGACCUCCUGUGAGAUCUCUGCAAAAAGUCUCACGAUUAAUUCCAAAACAUGAUGCAUGAUGGGAUACACUAAGCGUUGUAUAGCGCUCUGGAGCAGUAUUGGAGAGGUUUAGUGUGAGUUAAGGACGCUGCGCUUUGGCAUUAUUAAGACCGGGGACAGUCUCAUAGUCAUGUACACAUGCUCUCAAGUGACUAAGACCUCAAGUGUGGGUAUCUGGAAACGGGAAAAGUCUUUAAAAUGAUCCCUAAAUACAGUCGCACAUCAAAGUCUUAAUAAUUCAGUAAUUCAAUUUAACACUUGUAUGAUAUUGUACAAGCCCCUGGACAAUCUCAUCUGACACUAUCACAACAUUGGAAAAUCAGUUGCCCCACACAGUCAGAAAGUUUAUAUUGUUCAUUGGCUUCUCAUUAAAUUACUUCAAAUAAGCCCCAUCAGUUCAUGUUCCCACUAUACGUGAUCUCCAUGAGUAGAUAUUGCUAUUAAUGACUUGCUUUUAAUAAUGGAUGCAUUUAACAUUUAAUUAUAGAGCAUCUUUGCAGAGGAUGCUUUCAUGGUCUAAAAAAAACACAGUAAUGUUGCAUGUAAUGAAAUAAUAUUUCUUUUUUUCUUUCUGUCUUACAGGAUUGUUUGCACAUAACACUGUAGAUCUCCGUCAUGCACAAGGACUCACCUAUUUAACUCUUUAUCCCCCCCGCCACACACACACAGAAAUGGUUCCUGGAUCAGUGACUUAAGACUUUGCAGUGAUUUGAUUUCUGCAGAAGAUGUAACUUUGUUUUAAUUAAGCUUAUAAUGAAUACAUUGUGACCUUCCAGCAACCCAUAUACUG
ensembl:lncRNA